ACUUUGAAGAGAGAGUUCAAGAGUACGUGAAACCGUUCAGGGGUAAACCUGAGAAACCCAAAAGAUCGAAUGGGGAGAUUCAUCGACGACGAAGCUGGCUCCCGUUGGCGUGCGAUUCCCCCGUUGGGACCUCGGUUCCAGAACGCGGGGUACACCCCUUCGGCGAAUAACCGGCGACGUAGUCGUGCACUUCUCCCUUGGUAGAACGUCGCGACCCGUUGUGUGUCGGUCUACGGCCUGGGCUAUUUGCCUGUCGCGGUGGCAUUCGUUCGCUCGCGGCAGAGGCUCGGUCGCCCGGCCGGCUGCACGACGGUACUCCGACGGUAUCGGGCCGCAACCAAUCCAUUCUCGAAUGGUAUAUGCGUCCAGGCCCGUCGCAAGCUCGGACAGCAAGCCCGGAGCGUGUGGACGCAGCGCCCUCCCCGGGUCUGGCCAGCUGUUAGCAGACGGUGUCCUCGGACCGGCCAAGCUUCGAAUUACCGGUCAGCGACGCUAUUGCUUUGGGUACUCUCAGGACCCGUCUUGAAACACGGACCAAGGAGUCUAACAUGUGCGCGAGUCGUUGGGACAUUGAAACCUAAAGGCGAAAUGAAAGUGAAAGUCGUCGUAAGCGUCGACCAAGGGAGGAUGGGCCGCGUCACGUCGCGGCCUCGCACUCCCGGGGCGUCUCGUUCUNGUUGAGAAGAGGCGCACCCAGAG
rnacentral:rRNA from 1 species